CCCCUGGACGCAGUCUGAUGGAGCAACGCCGCGUGUAUUGAGGAAGGUCUUCGGAUCGUAAAAUACUGUUGUCAGAGAAGAACACCGGAUAAAGUAACUGUUGUCCCGCUGACGGUAUCUGACCAGCAAGUCACGGCUAACUACGUGCCAGCAGCCGCGGUAAU
rnacentral:rRNA from 1 species